rnacentral:rRNA from 1 species
CCUGGCGGCUUUAGCGCGGUGGUCCCACCUGACCCCAUGCCGAACUCAGAAGUGAAACGCCGUAGCGCCGAUGGUAGUGUGGGGCCUCCCCAUGCGAGAGUAAGGAACUGCCAGGC